rnacentral:rRNA from 1 species
GACGAACGCUGGCGGCGUGCUUAACACAUGCAAGUCGAACGGAAAGGCCCUUCGGGGUACUCGAGUGGCGAACGGGUGAGUAACGCGUGGGUGAUCUGCCCUGCACUUUGGGAUAAGCCUGGGAAACUGGGUCUAAUACCGAAUAGGACCACGCGCUUCAUGGUGUGUGGUGGAAAGCUUUUGCGGUGUGGGAUGGGCCCGCGGCCUAUCAGCUUGUUGGUGGGGUAAUGGCCUACCAAGGCGACGACGGGUAGCCGGCCUGAGAGGGUGACCGGCCACACUGGGACUGAGAUACGGCCCAGACUCCUACGGGAGGCAGCAGUGGGGAAUAUUGCACAAUGGGCGCAAGCCUGAUGCAGCGACGCCGCGUGAGGGAUGACGGCCUUCGGGUUGUAAACCUCUUUCACCAGGGACGAAGCGUAAGUGACGGUACCUGGAGAAGAAGCACCGGCCAACUACGUG